rnacentral:rRNA from 1 species
UACAGAGGUCCCGAGCGUUGUUCGGAUUCAUUGGGCGUAAAGGGUGUGUAGGGGGUUGGGUAAGUCGGAUGUGAAAUCUCACCGCUUAACGGUGAAAUGGCGUUCGAUACUGCUCAGCUAGAGGAUCGGAGGGGAGAGCGGAAUUCCUGGUGUAGCGGUGAAAUGCGCAGAUAUCAGGAGGAACACCGGUGGCGAAGGCGGGUCUCUGGGCCGAUACUGACGCUGAGGAGCGAAAGCGUGGGGAGCGAACAGG